GAUGAACGCUGGCGGCGUGCUUAACACAUGCAAGUCGAACGGAAAGGCUCCUGCUUGCAGGGGUACUCGAGUGGCGAACGGGUGAGUAACACGUGGGUGAUCUGCCCUGCACUUCGGGAUAAGCCUGGGAAACUGGGUCUAAUACCGGAUAGGACGAUGGUUUGGAUGCCAUCGUGGAAAGUUUUUCGGUGUGGCAUGAGCUCUCGGCCUAUCAGCUUGUUGGUGGGGUAAUGGCCUACCAAGGCGUCGACGGGUAGCCGGCCUGAGUGGAUGUACGGCCACAUUAGGAAUGGGGUACGGCCCGAACUCCGACAGGGGGCAGAAGUGGGGAGUAUUGCACGAUGGGCGCAAGCCUGAAGCAGCGACGCCGCGUGGGGGAUGACGGCCUUCAGGUUGUAGACUCCUUUCGCUAGGGACGAAGCGCGAGUGACGGUACCUGGAGAAAAAGCACCGGCUAACUACGUG
rnacentral:rRNA from 1 species